CUCUGAUACUGCUCGGUUUAAAACAGAUUUUAAGUGUCAGGACCAGUGCUGUGCUGCCCCAUAUCCUUCCCAAGCUUGUCCACCUUCGUCCUCCUUCCUCUUUCCAGAGGUUGCUGGACCUGGUCUUGAUGCCCACCUUGGUAGUUGGUACCAUCCUUCCUGCUUUACUCACUGCAAUGGGCUAUACUGAUAUGCCGUUGAUUCAUAUAAUAGGGGACAGAUUCCCAUGGCAAGUGAAAAGUGCAAUUCUCUCAACUUUGAGCAUCAUAAUACGGAAGGGUGGGUUGACCCUAAAGCCUUUUCUUCCCCAGCUUCAAACAACAUUGUCAAGUGUUUGCAGGAUAAUACAAGGAUUGAUCCAUUGGUAAACUAAGUGCACUCACAAUAGGAUUGAUCCUUUUAGAAAACGUGUCUGUACACUCUUUCAAGGAUUUGAUAUACAAUGAUGAUGACCAGAUACGAGUUUGUGCUGCCAGCAUAUUGGGAAUCAUAUCACAGUUCCCAAUCCGUGAGACAUCCACAAGAGCAUUUGGAAGACUUAUAUAUCUUCAAAUGCUUCUUCACAUCUGGAAAUUCUUGGAUCUAAAGUAUCAGCCAUGCAGGAUGAUUCAAGUCAGAAGACGAGCUUUGUCUUCUCUUAAGUUAGCUGCCAAAUCUAACCCUAGUGCCGUAAUGAUUCAUGUAUCGAAGUAUGGCCCCGUACUAGCUGAGUGCAUGAACAAGUACACCUGUCAGAGUUGCCGCUGAGAGAUGUGCCUUGCAUGCUUCCCAAUUGACUAAAAGUGCAGACAAAGCUGCACAAAAGUUUAUCACAGGUUUGGAUCCUAUACUGACAUUUCCUCAGUGCUCUUUCUUAUAGUAUAAUGUGUUGUCACCUUUGUUGGUGCAGUGAUGUUAGUAAAGACAGCGACAUUGAUACUUCCUGUGGCUAAAACCAGAUUUUGCCUCCCAAUUCCUAUUUUUUCUGUGUAAUAAAACCUGCUUUAAUAUCUAUAGCAGCGAUUUUUGCAACACACAAAAGUGCAUAAAUUCCACUGGAAUGCAAAAUCUGGUUUUAACCGCUGGAAGUAUCAAAUCUCAGUCAAAAUCUAUAACAAGUAGAGUCGCUUGGUUACCUACAAUAACUUAUUUAAAAACCUAUAAUAAGAUAUAUGCUGAAAUCUUUAUCUUUUUUUUUUCCCUUUGCAAACCUGAAAGAUAUUUAUAUGUAUAUGCCUUGGUACAUGUAUGGAGGAGUCAUUAAUCGGUA